rnacentral:sRNA from 1 species
AUUCCUGGCAAUGGCCGAUUUCGACCAUCGCCUGACUCAGUGCCUCAGCC